AUGGCCAUAUCAUGUUGAAACAUUGGUUCCUGUACAAUCACUGAAGUUAAGCAACAUCGAGCCUAGUCAGAACAUAGAUGGGUGACCACUUGGAAAUACUAGGUGCUGUAAG